rnacentral:lncRNA from 1 species
GCAGGGAGAGAGACCCGACGUCGGUCUCCGCAGGCGCGUCGGCUCGAGCGCCAGGCCGCCCGCCUCGCCUUUUUCCCAGGCAUGCAGCAAGGGCGGCUUAGCCAGCCGCGGGAAGAACGGCCGCAAGGGCGGGCACUUCCUUCCUAGGGGCUUUUAUUUAUAAUUAUUAUUUUUAGACGAUUUUUUAAAACUUAGGCAGUGGAAGGGGGGGGGCAGAAAGAGUCGCCUGCGCCCCCGCCCCCCUUCCUUUCCUUUCCUUCCUUCCUUCCUUCCUUCCUUCCUGCUAAAGUUGGAGAGAGCCAGCGCGAGAGCGCGAGAGCGAGGGUGUGCAGAGGGGGCGCACGCAGCGCCGGGAACAUGGCAGGGCAGGCGCGAGGCCGCCUGGCCGUCCGCGGCAUCUGCUGCAAAGGGCGCCCCGCGGCGGCGCAGCAGCCCCCCGCCUCGCUCGCCGGGCGACGACGCGGCUGAACUUCCUCGCCCGCCCGCCGCCCGCCGCGCCGAUCGGAUGCGCCCACGCCCUGGAGGCCGCCGGAGACGCAGCCCUGAGCCUUGCCGGAGGGAGGGAGGGAGCGAGGGAGCCAGCAAGCCAGCCAGCUGGGCGGAGGGAAGGGAAGAGGCGAAGCGAGGGCGACGAGCAGCGGACGGCGGGCCGUCGCCGCUGCCUCCUCCGCGGAAGGGACCCCUGCUUGCCUCGUCGUCCUCCUCCUCCCGCCGGCCGUGGUCGUCGUCGUCAGGCUGGGGAGCGUCGCCGCCGCCGCCGGGGAGAUCCUGGCUUUCCGCCCGCCCUCCACGCCUGGCUCGGCGGCGCUGCGUGUCCUCUGGUGCUCCGGAGGUGAGUAGCAGAAGCAUCCCAGCAAGUUUGGACGUCCUUGGCUUUCGCUUCUGACUACACUUGCCUCGACAGCAUCAUCGGAAGAUUCCUGUGCAAGCCAGCGAGCGAAGGAAGGGGAGGGGGUGGGGAGGGGGGGCUCCUUGGAUCAUGCUUUCAAGGCCUCUGGGAUUCUGCCUCUGCAGCAGCCAGUGAGUCCCGGCGGGGGCCACGGGGCCCAGGCACCCUCCUGCUUGGAAACCCAGCGCGCGGCAGGGGUGCCUUGCCGGAGCCUGGGUCGCCCUGCUUCCGACUCCCUUCCUUCCCUCCAGCGCUCGGCUUCCUUUUUACUCGUGGAGAUUGAUGGAAUGAUGGUGCGGGAAAGGCAGAGCGAUCCUGCCGGGCUCAGUGGGGACUCCUCGGGAGGCAGCGGGAGUGGCAGCAGCGGGGUUCCGGAAGGCAU